rnacentral:lncRNA from 1 species
CUCAUCAUCUCAUCUCAUCUCAUCAUUUCAUCUCAUCAUUCAUCUCAUCAUUUCAUAUCAUUUUAUCUCAUCUCAUCAUUUCAUCUCAUUUCAUCAUUACAUUUCAUCUCAUUUUAUGUCAUCAUUUCAUGUCAUCAUUUCAUCACAUCUCAUCUCAUCAUUUCAUCUCAUCAUUUCAUCAUUUCAUCUCAUUUCAACUCAUUGCAUCUCAUCUCAUUUCCAUUUCAUUAUUCCAUUUCAUCAUUUCAUUAUGUCAUUUCACCUCAUCAUAUUUCAUCUCAUUUCAUCUCAUCAUUUCAUUUCAUCUCAUCAUUUCAUCUCAUUUUAUCUCAUCUCAUCUCAUCAUUUCUUCUCAUUUUAUCUCAUCUCAUCUCAUCAUUUCUUCUCAUCUCAUCAUUUCCAUUUCAUUUUCAUUUCAUUAUUUCAUCAUUUCAUUAUUUCAUUUCAUCUCAUUUCAUUAUUUCAUUUCAUUAUGUCAUUUCAUUUCAUCUCAUUACAUUUCAUCUCAUUUCAUCUCAUCAUUUCAUCCAUCAUUUCAUUUCAUUUCAUCAUUUCAUCUCAUGAUUUCAUCUCAUCUCAUCAUCUCAUUUCAUCUCAUUAUUUCAUCUCAUUUCAUCUCAUCUCAUGAUUUCAUUUCAUCAUUACAUCUCAUCAUUUCAACUCAUCUCAUUUCAAUUUCAUUUCAAUUUCAUUACAUUUCAUAAUUUCCUUUCAUUAUUUCAUUUCAUCUCAUUUCAUUAUUUCAUUUCAUUAUUUCAUUUCAUCUCAUUUUUCAUCUCAUCAUUUUUCAUCUCAUUUCAUCUCAUCAUGUCAUCUCAUCGUUCAUCUCAUUUCAUCUCAUUUUAUCUCAUUAUUUCAUCUCAUCUCAUCUCAUUUCAAUUUCAUUAUUUCAUAUCAUUUCAUUAUUUCAUUUCAUUUCAUCUCAUCAUUUCAUCUCGUUUCAUCUCAUCAUUUCAUCAUCUCAUCAUUUCAUCUCAUUUCAUCUCAUCUCAUCUCCUUUCAAUUUCUU